rnacentral:misc_RNA from 1 species
AUGAUUAUUCCUAUGGCUUUUAUGACCAAUUAUAUUACACAUUCAGUAGGCACGGAUGUAUCCGAUGGUAUGACAGCCCAAGGCACUGAGUGUCUAGCGCCAGUAAAACCUGCGUAUCCAGUGUCGACAGUUCUGUUAAAGGUUACUUUGGGCACCAAACUAAAUUAAGAAAGUUGAAUAUUGAAAUAAAAGAAGGGAAAGAUCAUAUGAAAAAU